CCCGGGCUGGUCCGCGGGCAGCCGAAGGGCCAGGCUGCGGAGGCAACUUUUGAAUGGCUGAAAGUUGAGCGCAACCCGCCCCGCAAGAACAGCGAUGUUGGCUUUGGGAAGGAAGUUAGACCAACGUUUCCCUACUCUCCCCCCACCCCACCCCGACCCGGCCGGCAGAGACAGAGACACAGAGAGAGAGAGAGAUCGGAAAGAAAGAAGUUGUUACAGACUUACUCGAAACUGGCUGCUUUAAGGGGCCUCUUUAAGAAAAAAAAAAUCUUCCCGUCGAAAACAACCAUCGUGGGCCACUCGAACUGAAACGAUUGCAAGGAUAAAGAUUCGUUCACCCAGCACUGGAUAAGGAAGAGCGAAGUCCCGCGAAAGUCCGAGAGCCGCCGGUUUCGGCUUUUUAAAAGCGCAAAAACGAAAGCUUCAGAUCGGAGAGCGUCGGUUGAUCUUUUGACAAAUUGACUUUUCUCUGCUUCGCUCCUCUCCGGAUCCCUGUCGCUGUAUAUACAGGGGGUGAAAGCUCACGAUAGAGACCCUUGGGAACUGCGGAGCGGGGCUUUUCCAUGUUACGGCCCUCCCAAAGACCCGAAAACAUUUUUAUUUUUUGGGUGUGCGAUUUUCAAACGAGAUUCAUUAUCUGGGGGCACACUCGACGCAUAUCAAAUAUCGAAAGCCUCCCCCACUCCCGGUCUCCAAAGCUGUAUUUUCUUCCACUUCUGCAUUUAUUUUUGCUGAUUAAAAAAAUAAAUAAACGAAUCUAAAUGAA